rnacentral:rRNA from 1 species
CAGCCGUAAACUAUGCGCGUUAGGUGUAUCGGUGACCACGAGUCACCGAGGUGCCGAAGGGAAACCGUGAAACGUGCCGCCUGGGAAGUACGGUCGCAAGGCUGAAACUUAAAGGAAUUGGCGGGGGAGCACAACAACGGGUGGAGCCUGCGGUUUAAUUGGACUCAACGCCGGGAAGCUCACCGGAUAAGACAGCGGAAUGAUUGCCGGGCUGAAGACUCUGCAUGACUAGCUGAGAGGAGGUGCAUGGCGUAGACGUCU